rnacentral:rRNA from 1 species
GAUGAACGCUGGCGGCGUGCCUAAUACAUGCAAGUCGAGCGAACGGACGAGAAGCUUGCUUCUCUGAUGUUAGCGGCGGACGGGUGAGUAGCACGUGGAUAACCUACCUAUAAGACUGGGAUAACUUCGGGAAACCGGAGCUAAUACCGGAUGAUAUUUUGAACCGCAUGGUUCAAAAGUGAAAGACGGUCUUGCUGUCACUUAUAGAUGGAUCCGCGCUGCAUUAGCUAGUUGGUAAGGUAACGGCUUACCAAGGCAACGAUGCAUAGCCGACCUGAGAGGGUGAUCGGCCACACUGGAACUGAGACACGGUCCAGACUCCUACGGGAGGCAGCAGUAGGGAAUCUUCCGCAAUGGGCGAAAGCCUGACGGAGCAACGCCGCGUGAGUGAUGAAGGUCUUCGGAUCGUAAAACUCUGUUAUUAGGGAAGAACAUAUGUGUAAGUAACUGUGCACAUCUUGACGGUACCUAAUCAGAAAGCCACGGCUAACUACGUGCCAGCAGCCGCGGUAAUACGUAGGCGGCAAGCGUUAUCCGGAAUUAUUGGGCGUAAAGCGCGCGUAGGCGGUUUUUUAAGUCUGAUGUGAAAGCCCACGGCUCAACCGUGGAGGGUCAUUGGAAACUGGAAAACUUGAGUGCAGAAGAGGAAAGUGGAAUUCCAUGUGUAGCGGUGAAAUGCGCAGAGAUAUGGAGGAACACCAGUGGCGAAGGCGACUUUCUGGUCUGUAACUGACGCUGAUGUGCGAAAGCGUGGGGAUCAAACAGGAUUAGAUACCCUGGUAGUCCACGCCGUAAACGAUGAGUGCUAAGUGUUAGGGGGUUUCCGCCCCUUAGUGCUGCAGCUAACGCAUUAAGCACUCCGCCUGGGGAGUACGACCGCAAGGUUGAAACUCAAAGGAAUUGACGGGGACCCGCACAAGCGGUGGAGCAUGUGGUUUAAUUCGAAGCAACGCGAAGAACCUUACCAAAUCUUGACAUCCUUUGACAACUCUAGAGAUAGAGCCUUCCCCUUCGGGGGACAAAGUGACAGGUGGUGCAUGGUUGUCGUCAGCUCGUGUCGUGAGAUGUUGGGUUAAGUCCCGCAACGAGCGCAACCCUUAAGCUUAGUUGCCAUCAUUAAGUUGGGCACUCUAAGUUGACUGCCGGUGACAAACCGGAGGAAGGUGGGGAUGACGUCAAAUCAUCAUGCCCCUUAUGAUUUGGGCUACACACGUGCUACAAUGGACAAUACAAAGGGCAGCGAAACCGCGAGGUCAAGCAAAUCCCAUAAAGUUGUUCUCAGUUCGGAUUGUAGUCUGCAACUCGACUACAUGAAGCUGGAAUCGCUAGUAAUCGUAGAUCAGCAUGCUACGGUGAAUACGUUCCCGGGUCU